UACGUAGGGCGCAAGCGUUAUCCGGAAUUAUUGGGCGUAAAGAGCUCGUAGGCGGUUUGUCGCGUCUGCCGUGAAAGUCCGGGGCUCAACUCCGGAUCUGCGGUGGGUACGGGCAGACUAGAGUGUGGCAGGGGAGACUGGAAUUCCUGGUGUAGCGGUGAAAUGCGCAGAUAUCAGGAGGAACACCGGUGGCGAAGGCGGGUCUCUGGGCCAAUACUGACGCUGAGGAGCGAAAGCGUGGGGAGCGAACAGG
rnacentral:rRNA from 1 species